rnacentral:rRNA from 1 species
CAGCAGCCGCGGGAAUAUGUAGGUGGCAAGCGUUAUCCGGAAUUAUUGGGCGUAAAGCGCGUCUAGGUGGUUAUGUAAGUCUGAUGUGAAAAUGCAGGGCUCAACUCUGUAUUGCGUUGGAAACUGUGUAACUAGAGCACUGGAGAGGUAAGCGGAACUACAAGUGUAGAGGUGAAAUUCGUAGAUAUUUGUAGGAAUGCCGAUGGGGAAGCCAGCUUACUGGACAGAUACUGACGCUGAAGCGCGAAAGCGUGGGUAGCAAACAGGAUUAGAUACCCCCGUAGUCCCUGUCUCUUAUACA